UUCUCCACCAUCUCACCUUUUCCUUUUCCCUUUCUACCCUUUCCCUUUCCUUACUCUCAAUAUCGAUCUCCUUCUUCCAUCAACCCCAUAAUAGUCAUAUCACCUUUUCUUCUUCCCCCAAAAAUUAUCCCCUGGAACGUUUCAUAUAUCUUCCCCCUUUUUUUUUCUCUGCUCAAUCUUUCAAAUCCGAGAUCAAUUUUCUUUUCCAUCUUUUCAUUUUCGGAAUAUCUCUGCGUUUAACAUCAGAUUCAAUAUAUUUUCACUUUUUUGUUUUUCAUAGGGUUUUUUCCUCCCUAAUUCUAGGGUUUAUUGUUUUCAAUUUUAAUAUGUUUUUUCUCCGUUAACGGAAGUUGAGUUGAAUAAUUACAUCAAUUAAGUACUCAUAUUUUAUUGUAGAUUCGUCAGUUUUUUGUUAUUGUUGUUGAAGUUAGGGUUGAUGGCUGAUCGGAGUUUAGCCGUUGUGAAGCCGGUUUGGAUGAAGCAAGCCGAAGAAGCGAAGCUGAAGAGCGAAGCAGAGAAAGAUGCGGCUGCCAAAGCUGCUUUUGAAGCCACGUUUAAGGGUUUGGUGAAAAGUCACGAGAAGAGGGCUGCUAAUUCGGACAGUGAUUCGGAUGAAUACGAGGAUUUGGCCCAUAAGCCCCUUGGGCCUGUGGAUCCUUCCAAGUGCACUGCUGCUGGCACUGGAAUUGCCGGAGGAACGGCCUGUGCUCCGUCUUCGUUCUCUGUGGUGACUAAGGAUGCUGAUGAGAGGAGGGUUUCAAUUGGGGGUGCACAAAUUAAGGUGAAAGUGACGCCAGGUUUGGGUGUUGGAGGGUCUGAUCAAGAAGGGAUUGUCAAGGAUAUGGGUGAUGGAACUUACACUGUUACUUAUGUGGUGCCUAAGCGAGGGAACUAUAUGGUUAAUGUUGAAUGUAAUGGCAGGCCAAUCAUGGGUAGUCCAUUCCCUGUCUUUUUCAGUGCAGGUAUUCAUCAUUACCAAGACAGCAAAAUCAUCUGCUUUAAUGUUUACUCUAUGUGAAUAUGUAUAUCUGCAAUGUGGUUCUUUUGAGUUUUUCGAUAUAAGUUGUCAAUAGCGUGCUAUAGCGAUAUAGCGGCCACUGGUCACUUUUCAAAGUAUGAAUUGGAGCAUUUUGCUGUGGCGACUGUUAUCGCAACUGCAGCUAAAUGUUUUGGAAAUGAACUUUGUUCUAUAUAUUAUUUAAUUUAAUAUUCAUAUACAUACAAAAUUCAGAAUUAGCAGUCAUCCCGCAAUGCUCCAUCUUGCUUUAGUGUUUUGAGGUUGGCUGCUACACACUGCUAUCCAGGAUCAAUAACUGCCAAUUAUACUUGGUUUCUGUUUUAUAUAGUUGGGUUGUUUGGUAUUUACUUAUGAGUAGGAAGGAACACGAGGGUCUAAAUCUAAGCAAAUUUAGUAACAAAUGCUGAAGUUAAAAAUAUAAUUCUCUCCAUUUGGGAUAACGGGAUUUGUUGCUUAAGUCACCUCCUUUUCAUUCUUGAUAUCCGUGGUAUGCUGUAUCAUAAAAUAAAAUACUGAAUUAAUAAAUAAAUAAGAUGACCUUUUUGAUACACACAUCUGUAUUUUGGUUUAUAGUAAUCACAAUGCUUGCCAAAUUUUAAUUCCUUGAUUUGUUUUUGUUGUAGGUAAUGGUAAUGGAGGGCUUUUGGGUUUAGCUCCUCCAUCUUCAUUUCCAAAUCUGGUUAAUCAAACUAUGCCCAACAUGCCAAAUUACUCUGGCUCCGUUUCAGGGGCAUUCCCAGGAUUGUUGGGAAUGAUUCCAGGGAUUGUUGCUGGAGCUUCUGGGGGGGCUAUUUUGCCAGGAAUUGGGGCUUCACUCGGGGAAGUUUGUCGCGAUUACCUUAAUGGGCGCUGUGCUAAAGUUGAUUGUAAGUUGAAUCACCCACCUCAUAAUUUGCUGAUGACUGCCUUAGCUGCAACAACUUCAAUGGGAACACUUAGCCAGGCUCCUAUGGCACCUUCUGCUGCUGCAAUGGCAGCUGCCCAGGCAAUAGUUGCGGCCAAAGCCCUUCAAGCUCAUGCAGCUCAAGUGCAAGCUCAGUCAGCAAAAGAUUCUACCGGUAUGGUGUGUGGUAUAUUAAUUUUGUUUGUGUUGGUGGUAUGUUCUUGAUAUUGCACUAUGUUUGGUUGUGACUUUGUUGACAUUUUUUGUUGUCUUUUUACUGUUUCCUGGUUGUUUCUUACAACUGAUUUUGCCACCACUAUCAGGUUCACCUGACAAAGCUAAUAAGGAGGAUGUGUUGAAGAAAACUCUUCAAGUUAGCAAUCUUAGCCCACUUCUCACUGUGGAACAGCUAAAACAACUCUUUGGUUUCUGUGGCACUGUUGUUGAAUGCACAAUCACUGAUUCAAAGCAUUUUGCUUAUAUAGAAUACUCAAAACCCGAAGAGGCAACUGCGGCAAUGGCUUUAAACAACAUUGAUGUUGGGGGGCGUCCUUUGAAUGUUGAAAUGGCAAAAUCACUUCCGCCGAAAUCAGCUAUGAAUUCUUCACUUGCUUCAUCCUCCCUCCCUUUGAUGAUGCAGCAAGCUGUUGCCAUGCAACAAAUGCAAUUCCAGCAAGCGCUGCUUAUGCAACAAACUAUGACUGCACAGCAGGCUGCUAACCGAGCUGCAACCAUGAAAUCUGCCACAGAUUUAGCAGCAGCACGAGCUGCAGAAAUUAGUAAGAAAUUGAAUCCCGAUGGACUUGAAAUCGAAGAGAAAGAGACGAAACAGAAGUCCAGGUGUGAUUUUUUGCUGGUUGUUUUAAGGAUAAUGUAUUAUUCUUUAUGGUCAUUGUUUAAUUUCUUUCAAUUUUGAUUUAUUGUUGCAACUGUUUGAUAUUUUGUUAUUAGCAUGCCCUUGCAUAUGAAAUUUAGGAAUCAUGAACUCACAAUGUGGUGCCUGAAAACUUAAGAUGUAGCAUAUUGAGCAAAGAAAUCUUAAAUGCGUGUGUACAAGAUUGUAAAGUUACAAAUGAGGCAAACUUCAGAGAAGUGUGGUUGAAAUUUUUGAAUCAAAUCAAGUUCCUAUUUUUUUUCUAGCUAGAAAUGGUAGAGUUGUGUCUAUAGAAGUCAAAGGCAGCAAACCUUUAUCAUAUAAGAAGAUUUGGUUUUAAUGAGUUUUGUUUGUAUUUAGAACUAAGCUGUGUCUUCUGUUGAAGAAUCAAACAUAUUGUUAGUGGCCUGGCAGCUGGCAAGUUUAUCACGGAUCAUGUUUAUUUUGAAAUAAACUAUGAUGACAAAAUAUUGUUUUACGUUAUUAUUUUAGAUUGUGUACCGUUCAGUAUCAUGUUUUUAUUUUUAAAUGUCUCUGUAAAACUAAAACUGAAUAUCCUUUUGUAGAUCACCUUCUCCCCCUCCCGAAAGAUCACGAUCAAAGUCAAGAUCUCCUAUCAAUUAUCGGAGGAGGAGGAAGUCUCGUUCCUUCUCACCUGCUCGUCAAUCUAAGGAUCACCGGUCCAGGUCACCAUUGAGGUUCCAUCAUCAUUCAAGGUAUGAAAGGGAAUGGAGAUCCUAUAGAGAGAGCAGGGAACAUAGUGAUAGGUUCAGAAGACGAGAUUCAGAUAGAUUUAUUGAUCAUUCAUCUGGUUCGAGAAGAAACAGAAGUAGGAGUGUUAGCCCUCAUGCAAGGAGAUCACCUGUUUCUCCUAAACGUCACACAGGAAGUUCGUCUCAUAGAGGAAGGAAACAGUCUCGUGCUGAUUCUGGCUCUCCAAGUCAUUGCAGAGGAAGUAGGUCUUCUCCAAAGAUUGAUGAAAAGAAAAUAAGAAACAGAAGGCGCUCAAGGUCUAGAUCUUCAGAUGAAAAGCUUAACCUUUUUGACAAAAAUGACGAAAUCUUGCCUGAAAAGGCGAAACAUAGAGAGCGAAGGCGGUCGAGGUCAGUGCCUGUGGACGAGAAGCCUCACAGGAACCAAUCAUCCCCAAGAAAAGUAGAUGAAAGCAGACCUAGGCACAGGAAGCGGUCCAGGUCAAAAUCUGUGGACGAUAAGCAUCACUUGUCUGACAGAUUGGAUGAAAACAGAAAUAGAAGGUCAAUAUCUUCAGAUGAUAAGCUUAACCCCUCCGACAAAAACGAAGAAAUCGUACAUGAAAAAUCUAAACAUAGAGAGCGAAGGCGGUCCAGGUCCUUAUCUGUUGACGAUAAGCCUCCGAGGAGGCGAUCGUCCCCAAGAAAAGUGGAUGAAAGCAGAUCCAGGCACAAGAAGCGAUCCAGGUCAAGAUCUGUGGACGAUAAGCGUCACUUGUCUGCGAAAUUGGAUGAAAACAGAAAUAGAAGAUCAAGGCAUAGUGAUAAAAGGCGCUCCAGAUCGAGAUCUAUGGAAAAUAGGGACCGGGCUUAUGUCAGAGAGGAUGGAAGCAAACAUGAAAAGUCAAAAAAUCACGAUACAAAAUAUAACAGGUCAGAAUCUGAUGAAGGGAAGCAUCACUCUAAAGGUAAAUCAGGUGAAAAUAGAGAUAAGAAAUCAAAGCAUCGCGAUAGAAGGCAUUCAAGGUCAAUAUCAUCAGAAGGUAAGCAUGACAAAGGAGGCACUUCAGCUCAUAGAGAAGAGAGAGAUUUUGAACACAAAAGAUUCAGGUCGAAGUCUCCUAACGCCAAGCACCACGGCAAUGAUAAAUAUGGUAAUAAAGAUGAAAGAUCAGAGCAUCAAGAGAAAACCUUGUUUAAAUCAAAAACAGAAAAUCAUCAGCAAGAUGAAGGGAGUGGGCACUCCCCAAGAAAUUUCAAGGAGUGUGAAUCAAAAGGAAAAACAAAAUCUGGUUCUAGAUCUGCAGAAUUUAAGCAUCAUUUGACCGAUGGAGAAAGUGAUCCCAGUGAAGAAAAUUCAAAACAUCUUGAAAAUGGCAUACAAGAACCAAUUUUAAAUGCGAAGGACUUAACAAACCUGAAUGAUAAUGGGAUAUUAAUUCGUGAGAGUGAAAACCCGAAUUCAGAUGGGUCAACUGGAAAUGCAGGAGCUGAUGAUAACCCAGGUAUGGCAAGUCCUAUAGUCUGAACUCUUAACAUUGACAUUAUUCAUGUAAGGUUAGACGUUGCAAAAUCUCAGCUUAUUCUUUGAUACAGGGUGGAGAUGUGUGGAAGAAGUUGGAAGUCGGAAAUAUUAAGCAUGCUUGCCUUGGUAAUAGCCAAUGAUCUUAAUUAUAGAACAGAUUUGAUUACUUACGUGUCAUUAUAAAAGCUAAGUUGCCUUCUGUGUGCUUUACAGGAGUGGUGGAUCUCAACGAUUUUACCUGGCUUUUGACAAUGCUAACAACAUAGCUAUAAGUAUAGAUUUUUGUUAUUUCAUCUCAAAUGGAGGAGUACGUAAAAGAGGACACUGAAAGUCCCUUGCUUAUAAAUGCUGAUCAGAGAAGCUGUUAAUGGAGACAGAUAUGAUUUAUCAUCUAUAGAGCAUAAUAUUGUCGGAUAAAGCACUACACAGAUCAUGGUGUUGUCUAUGGUUGAAGAUUUAUGCACCUGUUAAUGAUUAUGGGAUGACAGCAUAUUCUAACUAAGGAUGCAACAGAUCUACCGUUCCUCUUAGGAGAAGUGUCAUUCUCAGAGGAUGCUUCCAGUAUUUGAUUGGGUCCCAAGAAUAUUCUGUUGGCUUAUGAACUUCUUCGAUUGUUUAUUUCUUUUUGCAGGUUGGAUUUGGAAAGAUCAGAUGUAGAAUCCCACAGCUGUUGGUGUGAUUUAAGAUUUCAAGAAAUGACCUGCUUUUGUCAUGAUCAACCAUGCCGAACUAUAUCGUGCUUCUUUUACUGGUUGAUUGAUGUAUGUUGGAUGUUAUUUUAAAUAUACUGUUCAUCUUGUUUAAUUAAAGGUGUCACAUUUUACUAUGUUGGGUAUUGAUAUUAAUUUUUAAAAUCUGGUGGAAUCUGAAUAAUUUUAGUUUUUCUGGUCCUUCAGAAAUGUUGGUUUCUAUUAACCAGUCUCCUUAUUAUAUAUAUGUAAAACUUUUUUGGGCCAAGGGUAGAAGUGAUGUGUAAUCUGAACCAUCUAUUGAUGUUUUAGUUUAUGUCGUCUUGUUAGUCUCUAUUGCAUCUAGAUUAUAUUAUAUACCCUCCAGGGAGUUUUCGUAGUAUGAUCAUGUUUAGUUGAGAGCCACAUUCUUUAUGUGGCCCACCAUAGGUUCCAUUUCAAUUACUCAUACUUUGUGAUACGGUGGGCAUGUUAUAUCCCAAAACAAAUGCAGGUUACAUUCACAUUGAAAUCUAUUGGAGCUUUGAGAUACAGUUUUGCCGGGUUGAUUUUCUCUUGUAUAAAAAUGAAGGUAUGCAGUCAGAUUCUGAUGCUCUAUGGUUCACAGAGCAUAUCUUUUUGUUUUUCCCCAAUAAGUGUUGAGAGCAAUGAGAGCUUCUUAAUUUUGUACUAUGUUUGAGUGUUCGCAUUAAGUACUGUUUGCCAAUAUUUUUACAAUCAUCAUCUGGUGUCUUAUAUUGUCCUGCAUUUUUUUUCGUUUUUCCUUUUUUUUUUUUUUUUUCCUUUUCUCCCAAGCAAUUGUCAUGGUUAGGUAAAGCUUCUAGAUAAGGUCAACUGAACCUGGAUGUUGCUGCAAUGAGUUACACCAUGUAGCGAUUGAGCAAUUGGCUGACUUACAGCUUAUUCCUAAGUUAAUGCUGAAUUACAAAUGAUUUCAACAGGUAAUUCUCCGUGAAACUAUUGGUUGUUCCGCCAUAUGUGUAGGUUCUUCAGUAACAUUUGUAUGUAUGCUUCAUUUAGUUUUUUCAUUUUCAUGUUCACAGUGAUGGUUCCAUAUUUCACUUAUUGCAGUUCUAUGCACUUUGACUGGUUUUCAGUCAUCUUGGUGUUGUGAGUUUUUGUCGUGUUAAUUGAUAUGAUUGCGGUUUUAAAAUGUACAAUUGUUGCUAAUAAGUUUAGCUCUUUUAAAGUGAACAAUUUGCUUUAGAGGAUAAGGUGGUCUCCUUUUCAACCAUAGAUAAAUAAAUCAACAAAUGAUAUUGUGUAUGCAUAACAAAUAAUGCUCAAUUAGGAAUAUCAAAAGUUGUGUUUUUUAUCUUCUCAAUAACGAUUGACAUGUCUUACUUUAUCCUCUAAAGCGAAAACCCACUUUAGAGGAGCCUAGUGAGAGAUGCCGGAUAACUUUAGGAUUUUUCCUUUCUCAAGAACAUGAGACAUUAUUUUGGUGAUUGUGAGUCACAUUUGAAGGUUUUCCCCUUUUCUUUUGGUCUUUUUUUUUCCCUCUCACUCUUCCCUCCCCUUCUUUCCCCGAUUUAACUUUUUCUGGUUAGGUUAAGCAAUGGAUAUGAUGAUCUUAUGAGCAGCUGCAAAAUGUCUUCACCAGAUGGUUCUGUGAAGUUUGUUUUUAGAAGUUCUUUGUAUUAUAUUUUCCCUAUUUUUUAGGGUUAAAUGUCCUAAUAUAAUCUGUUCUCUCUCCACAAACUGGUCUGGUCACUGACCGCAUCCCCGAUAAGUUGGACCUUAUAUUAGGGUAUUCGGCUUUGCAUAUAGUAUAUAAUAUAUGCAAAGCCCGAUAAGUGUUUGUUCUGCAUAUAGUAUAAUAAUAUAAUAAAAAUAAAAUAACAAGGUUAGUUUGUUCUUAGUUCUGCAUAGUACUAAAACAAAAAAAAAGCAAGCAUUAUUUUUCUUGUUAUAGAUCACUUUUACUAACAUUUAGUCACGAAACCAAUCCAACCACUUCCAGCGAAGGCUUAGAAUCAAUAAAGCGUCAUUGAACUUGCUUCAUGAGACAUCUGAGUUUAGAACUCUUAACUCGUGAAACAUGAAUUCAAUGAAAAUAUAUUGCUUUAUAUAACGAACUAAACAAACAAUUUCAUUCCUAAUUUUUGAUAAUACUCAUUUUACAAUCAUUCAAUAUUCAAUCUCUCUUUAUCAAAGAAAUAAAAAGAAUCUAUUGCUCUUCAAUAAACUACAUAAAAAAAUAACUCAAUAUCCAAUUAUAUACAAUGAUUAUUCAAUUUUUAAAAUUAUUGUGUCGAUCACUUGAUAGCACAAUUAGACUUAUUCAACCCUUAAUCUCAAUUAGCAACUUUCUCCAUUUUAAUGCAUAAAAUUGUUAUUGUAGGCGAUAUUAGUCAAUUAAUUAAACUACCUAUAUCUAUCUUUAUAUAACAUGUAUUAAAAAAAAAACAAUCACUUGCGCAUUUAUGUGUUAAAAGUUUAUUUUUCCCAACCCACACUAUGGGGAUUUAUGUGUUAAAGUUUUUUUUCCUCUGAAUUUCAUCACUUGCGCAUUCAGUUUCUUCAAUUUGUCGUUCUCAUUCUUGUUUGAGGGCUUAAAUGAUCUUCUCUAAAAUUUUAACCAAUUAUUUUCUCUACUAUCUUUAAGAUUUCAACCAAAUGAAUUUCAGCAAACGUCUUUAUCCUUUUCAUCAUAAUGUAGUUAUAGUAAUGUAACAAUAAUGAUAAUAUAUGCUACGAGGGCAAAUUAGAAGGUUGCAUCUGACAGGAAAUUUUAAGUGGGAAACAAACGUAAUGUAAGCAAUGUGUGAUAUCAGAUUAUUAUAACCACUUGAUGUGCAAAUGGACAACCACUUGUAGUUACUCGGUUGUCUGAGCCCGUAAAAACAAAUAGAUGCAAAUUGUUUGUAUCACUGAAAUCAGGUUAUAGGUGUAAAUCACAAGAGUAGUCUAUAUAUUCGGAAAAAUGUUUUGUCAACGUCGGUGAAAGAGACUGAGAUAUGUAGCAAAUACAGUGUAUGAUAGAUAAUCUUCAAUAAAAAGAUUAAUGUUUUGAAUAUAAUUUUAAGUUUUGAAAUGCAUACAUUACUGACAAAUCUAUUAUAUAUAUAUAUAUAUAUAUAUAUAUAUAUAUAUAUACAUAUAUAUAUAUCAGUUUCUAUGAAGUUCUACCUACGUCUAACAAACGAUAAUCUAAAAGACAAUUAGCUAUGAAAUGCAUCUACAUGUUUGAUUUGUUUAUACAUAAUAAAAAUGCAUCAAACAAAUAAAGUGAAACUACAAUUUAAAUUAUCACAAUAAAUUCCACAUCCACCGAGGAACAUAAAAAAAUAUCAUAUAUAUAUAUAUACAAAUAUAUCAGUUUCUAUGAAGUUCUACCUACGUCUAACAAACGAUAAUCUAAAAGACAAUUAGCUAUGAAAUGCAUCUACAUGUUUGAUUUGUUUAUACAUAAUAAAAAUGCAUCAAACAAAUAAAGUGAAACUACAAUUUAAAUUAUCACAAUAAAUUCCACAUCCACCGAGGAACAUAAAAAAAUAUCAUGAAGUAGAUUUGCAUAAACAAGUUGAUUAUAGUUGAAUAUUAUUCUACGAAAAUGAGAAAAAGUAGUGGAAUGAUUUAUUUCAUAUAAUGAACGAGAGAACCAUAUUCUUCAUGGUUAGCCGCUAAAUGUUGAAUUUAAACAAAGUUAUUAAUAUAUUAUUUGGUUUUACAAAAAUUUCAAACGAUUUAUUUCUUUAGAAAACCAAUUGAUUGAUCAUUGUGUCAAUCCAUCCUAACCUCCACCACAAUCUACCCAACAUUUUUUCCAAAAACUAAUGUCCAACACAACACAUUAAAAUCAAUAUUAUACACCAACCGCUUCCUCAUACUUAUUCCUACACACCACAUCAAUCUUACGGAUUUACGCUCGAAAAACAAUUUAAUUUUGACAACCAACAACCACAACAAGAAGAUAAUUGUUGACUAUCUUUUGCAUCAAGCGAGGAUACGUUAUUGUAUAACAUGUCUAAUACUCGUUAUAAUACACCUGAGUCAUUUAUCCAUUUACUUAAUAAUAUGUAUCAAUAAAAUUUUCAGAUUAUAAGCUUUGAGAAUGCAUAUACUUCGUUAAAUCAAAUAUCCAACUGAACUUAAGGUGAAAAUAAUUAUUCUGCAACACUUUCUCCUCAACAUCCUCAAGAACAAGAAGAAAAAGAACAAAUUCGUGAUGUACCAAGAUGACAUCGUUUUUUAUGAAUGAAUUUUAAUGAAUUAUAUAUAUAUAUAUAUAUUGUUGAUUUUUUUUAAAAUUAAAUGUAAAAAAAAAAUUACCUUAAGAAAGUCGCAUUUACAAAUUCAAUUUUCUUAGACUUUAUUAAAGAAGUGUCAUUUACAAAGACGAUUUUAUAGCUAAGAAAAAAAAGAUAUUUUGAUAUAUAAUUUAAUAUAUUUUUUUGUUGAAAUAAGAGUUCUUAAAAUAAAAUCUUUUAGUAUUUCUCUUAAAAAAAAACGAUUUUGAAAAUUAAAUAUGACUUAAUUGAUGUUUUGAAAUUUUUCUAAAUUAAAUUGUUAGGAGCUUAACUAAAACGAGGAGUAGAAAAUAAGUGAAUCCAAAGGAGGGGCUAAAUCUAAUCAAAAUCCUAUGAAAAUACCACAAGAAUCAGUAAGAAAUAUUAUUAUUUAUUUUAUAAAAUAAAAAGAACCACAUAAGCAUGUUCCCAUAUAGAUCACAGUGACCCGUUCGUUCGCGUAUCAGUAUUUCGACCCAAAUCUCCAACAUCAAACUUGGCCGUCAGACGGAGGAGAACAGGUACGACUUCUCCACCAUCUCACCUUUUCCUUUUCCCUUUCUACCCUUUCCCUUUCCUUACUCUCAAUAUCGAUCUCCUUCUUCCAUCAACCCCAUAAUAGUCAUAUCACCUUUUCUUCUUCCCCCAAAAAUUAUCCCCUGGAACGUUUCAUAUAUCUUCCCCCUUUUUUUUUCUCUGCUCAAUCUUUCAAAUCCGAGAUCAAUUUUCUUUUCCAUCUUUUCAUUUUCGGAAUAUCUCUGCGUUUAACAUCAGAUUCAAUAUAUUUUCACUUUUUUGUUUUUCAUAGGGUUUUUUCCUCCCUAAUUCUAGGGUUUAUUGUUUUCAAUUUUAA
rnacentral:lncRNA from 1 species